rnacentral:tRNA from 1 species
UGGUUUGAAGUUUUUAGAAUAUGAUAUUGAAGUUAUCGUGGAGGGUUAUUUAAG